rnacentral:lncRNA from 1 species
AAGACACAUACGUGACUCAAAUAAGAUGGCCUUUGGACAGCAACCCUUUCCUGAGUCUCCAGCCUAUCAGCCUCUCUCAUCAGAUUUUGGACUCGCCAAGCCUCCACAAUGACUAGCCAGGGAGUGGCUACUUCAGAAUCAAAGAGAAGAGGAGAAGUCUAUUUACCAUGCAGAUUCGUGGGCCCCAUCCCAGACUUACUGAAUCAGCAGAACUGAGGAUGUUUCUGAAGAGGGUCCACUUUCAGGAGCUCUCUAGGGAUCCAAGAUGAGUCACCAUUGUUUCAUAGUCAAUGAACAAGACCUGGCCUUCCUUCUAAUCCAUUGCCAAAAACAGCAUUUCCUGCUGUAUAUUGUUGUGUUUGAGGUAGAAGGAAGUUACCACCUAGAGGCAAACCUCUCAAAAGCAGCAAGUCACCCUGACAGCAGCAGACUUAAGGAAGGGCUCAAAGAUCUCUGUGAGGCGGCCAUCAAUACCCAAAGCAAGAUGGAGAAGACAUUGUUCUCCCAACAGCUGGCCUGGAAUUCCUCUUAGGGACAGUUUUCUUUGGAGGGGUUGACUCUCUGUGGUAUGACUGUCAGCUGCCCCCUAGUUUCCAUGAAGGAGAACUGAAGAGGAGAAUAAAAACUUGCAGCUCUCAGGAGAGCAACCUUAGAGAAAUGGGAGUGAGAAGGAAAGGUGGGAAGGGAAAAACAAAACUCAGAUAAUGUAGCUUGAACAUUUGUCUACUCCAACUCUCAUGUUAAAAUUUAACCUGCAAUAUUGGAGGUGGGGCCUAGUAGGAGGUGUCUGGGUCAUGGCAGCAGAUCCUUCAUGAAUGGCUUGGUGCCACACUGGAAGUAAUGAGUGAGUUACUGCACUAUUAGUUCCCACAAGAGCUGAUUUUUUUUUUUAAAGCUGGGCCCCCUCUCUGCCCAUGUGAUCAGCACACACUGGCUCCCCUUCACCUUCUGCCAUGAGUGGAAGCAGCCUGAAACCCUCAGCAGAUGCAGAUGCCAAUGCCAUGCUUCUUAUGCAGCCUGCAGAAUAGGCCAAAUAAAGUUCCUUUAUUUAUCAAUUAGCCUCAUGUCUUCCUUUAUAGCAACACAAAUCGACUGACAUAGGAUCAAAAUAAAAAUAAUAAUUUCAUUCUUAUAGUAAACCUCUGACACAGGUACUAUUAUUAUUCCUACUUUAUAAUUUAGGAAACUGAGGCACAGAAAGGUUAAGUAGGGAAAUGUGUGUGUGCCAUAACCCUUCUCUAUGAUUUUCUUUUUUUCAGUCUUGUGCUGUCAUCCAGGCUGGAGUGCAAUGGCACAAUGUUGGCUCACUGCAACCUCCACCUCUCAGGUUCAAGUUAUUCUCCUGCCCUCAGCCUCCCAAGAAGCUAGGAUUACAGGUGCCCGCCACCACACCCAGCUAAUGUUUUUGUAUUUUUAGGGGAGAUGGGGUGUCAGCCAGGCUGGUCUCGAACUCCUGACCUCAAGUGAUCCACCUACCUCAGCCUCCAAAACUGCCAGGAUUACAGGCGUGAGCCACUGAGCCCAGCUCUUCCCUGUGAUUUUCUAUAUCGUCCCAAAACUUUACCAAAAUGUAUUAGAAUUAUGGGUGAGUUUGAUACUGUGGAUAUUUUUCUUCACAGCGUCCGUCCUGAGCUCCCUGUGUGGGUUGAUUUAGGGCAGAAAGAGGGCUGGAGCAUAUGUAGGCACAUGUCUGUCUGGGACAUGGGAGAUUUGAAAUGACAGCAUGCAUUAAACAGCAAGAAUAACCACCACCACGGACAGCUCAGAGGGAGGGUUACAUGUAUGAACUGUAAUUGGUUCAAUUGCUGGGAAACAGAAAGAAAUUUCUUAAAUUUUUCAGAAAUCCAAACUAAAGUAUCCCUAGAGUCACUGGAAGAAAUUUCAAUGGAUAGGAGAGCUCCAAAAGCUGUAAAGAAUCUACCCAGAUUCUCUUUCACCUUCCACUGGGGUUCACUAAAGCGAUCUGCUUGAGACCAGGCUGUCAUGGAGGGAUAGAUUCUUUUGUUCUUCCCCUUUUCACAGUUGUUGUUAUCACACUUUACCAAAAAAAGCUUAUCUCCCAUCCCUUUCAAGAAUUCAGAUGGUGCAUUGUUCAGGGUAUAAAAGUCUCCCAGGACAAAAGACACUAUUCAAAAUACAGUAACCAUCUCUAGCACAAUGAAAAUUGACGUAUAAGGUCAUUAGCCAUUGACGCUCCACCUCUGCAGCAGACUUACCCCUACUUUUCACUGAUGUCACAACAGGCCUGCAUUUUAGGACACUGAAAUUUUUAGAUUUCAUAAAAGGCUUGUAAUAAAUUAAGUUGCUGUUGCAAAAGGGGAUUAUUCCUAAUACUUGUGUGGCAUCAGGGCUGGCAAACGACAGCCUGCAGGCAACCCCUCCCACAAAACAAAGGAGAAAAAAAAAAACAAAAAACUGUUUUUUAAAAAAU